rnacentral:rRNA from 1 species
UCAUCAGAAUCUCUGUUUUCGAACCCGACGAUACUUCUGAGUGUUCUUAG